rnacentral:rRNA from 1 species
CGUGUAGGCGGCCAGGUAGGUCCGCUGUGAAAACUCGAGGCUCAACCUCGGGAUGUCGGCGGAAACCAUCUGGCUAGAGUCCGGAAGAGGAGAGUGGAAUUCCCGGUGUAGCGGUGAAAUGCGCAGAUAUCGGGAAGAACACCCGUGGCGAAGGCGGCUCUCUGGGACGGUACUGACGCUGAGAUGCGAAAGCGUGGGGAGCGAACA